ACGGGUGAGUAACACGUAUCCAACCUGCCGUCUACUCUUGGACAGCCUUCUGAAAGGAAGAUUAAUACAAGAUGGCAUCAUGAGUCCACAUGUUCACAUGAUUAAAGGUAUUCCGGUAGACGAUGGGGAUGCGUUCCAUUAGAUAGUAGGCGGGGUAACGGCCCACCUAGUCUACGAUGGAUAGGGGUUCUGAGAGGAAGGUCCCCCACAUUGGAACUGAGACACGGUCCAA
rnacentral:rRNA from 1 species